CAGAAGAGCAAGCGGCGGCGCUGCGGUCUGCGGUGCGGACGACGGCCGACGGCGACGGGGCGAGCGCCGGUGGGUGUGGGCCUGCUCAAGGUGGGGCGCAGCAGCCGGCAGGGGGUGGGGGCGGGGCUCGGUCGCGCGGUGCGGCGGCGCGGGGCAGAGGCACGACGCGGCGGUGGCCGGCCAGGCAGAGGCAGGCAGGCGCAGGCGCAGUGCAGGGCGCAGGCAGGCGGCAGUGAGAGGCUCAGAGCCAGGCACAGGCAGGGAGGACAGCAGAGCAAGAAAAUGGAUAGAAAGAGGAAAGGAAAGGCAUUGGCUUCACAAAAGAGAUUUGAAGAGUUUUUGGAACCGGGGCUCUGCAAGCGCAAUUACUCAUGA
rnacentral:lncRNA from 1 species